ACUAAACGAAGGAAGAGCUAACAACAGUG
rnacentral:piRNA from 1 species